UGGUCAAGUUAUUAAGGGUGCAGGGUGGAUGCCUUGGCACUAGGAGCCGAUGAAGGACGUGAUAAGCUGCGAUAAGCUUCGGGGAGUUGCACGUAAACUUUGAUCCGAAGAUUUCCGAAUGAGGAAACUCACUUAGAGUAAUGUCUAAGUAUCAUUAAGUGAAUACAUAGCUUAAUGAGGGGAACUCAGGGAACUGAAACAUCUAAGUACCUGAAGGAAGAGAAAGAAAUUCGAUUCCGUAAGUAGCGGCGAGCGAACGCGGAUUAGCCCAAACCAAUAAAGUUUUCUUUAUUGGG
rnacentral:rRNA from 1 species